CUUUGGUGAAUAUCGUGCCAAUUGUUGUGACAUACAACAAUUUUUUGCUGAUGGCGCAUGUCUUGACAACGUGUUUAUGCAAUGUUUCAUUGAGUGUGUCCGCGAUGACUGUUCUAAACAUAUUCCUCCACUGAAUGCUCACCAGCUCAUUCUAGAUGUUAAUGUUGGGGCUUUAUUGAACUUUGAGGAGCAGGAGCAACAUAGUAAGUCUCCUCGUCCAUUUGACCCUUCACUUUUGGAGAGUUACCUAUUGAAGACACUGCCUUCCUUCAAGCAGCUGGAUGACUACAAAUCAGUUAAUUUAUGUUCCUUGACCCAUCACACUCUCAUUUCAUAUUGCUGCAUUUAAAUUUCAAUCAAAUCAUUCAUAUCAACCAUAGUGUAUUCAACAUUUGUUAUUUCCAUUUUGUGUCCAUGUAGAUAAUGGUACCCAUGCUACGCUCUGGACAUUGGACAUUGUAUGUUGUUAAUCUUCAGAUUGGACGCAUACAUGUGUUAGAUUCGAACCCAUAUGGACCAGAGAUGGGUGGGACUAUCUGGAAAAAUUACCAUUGUAUACCUAUGGAUAUGGGUGAUAGGAAGGUUUCAUGGGCCAGGUUAAUAAUGACUAGGCUCAAUCUAGCCAUACAAAAUUCUCGACCAAGAUCAGCCCUCCCUGCUUUUUUGAAGUACCCUAUUGAACUCUUGAAUAACUGCCCAACAAUGAAAUUGGGGUCUAAUGAUUGUGGAUUCUUUGUUAUGAGAUAUAUGCAGCACUACGACUACAUGGUUGGAGCUAUGGAUGCAAUCAUUGUUCCGGAUAAUUCAGAGGACAUUCGCUCUCUUGUACUGAAGUACCUAAUAUUCCAUCGACUAAACAGAAACAGCUCCAUGGUUUCCCAUCUGGAUAGAUUCAAGUUCUCUCAGUAGUAGCCUAGUAUAGUUUACUCUCUGAAUGGUAGUCUGAACAUGAUGGUCUGAUGACUUUUGGUGGCUUCAAGUUAUUUCAGUACUAGCUUAGUUUAGGGUACUGUCACUGAAUGGUGUUGAUGUACAUAUUGGUCUGUUGGCUUAUGUUAGCAUUCAGAUAAUACUUAUGUCCAUAUGCAGCUCUUAGCAAACUCUUAUAUAUGUCGUUCCAGAUAUGUUUUAGAUGGAC